AUUGAACGCUGGCGGCAGGCCUAACACAUGCAAGUCGAGCGGAUGAAGAGAGCUUGCUCUCUGAUUCAGCGGCGGACGGGUGAGUAAUGCCUAGGAAUCUGCCUGGUAGUGGGGGACCACGUUUCGAAAGGAACGCUAAUACCGCAUACGUCCUACGGGAGAAAGUGGGGGAUCUUCGGACCUCACGCUAUCAGAUGAGCCUAGGUACGAUUAGCUAGUUGGUGAGGUAAAGGCUCACCAAGGCGACGAUCGUUAACUGGUCUGAGAGGAUGAUCAGUCAUACUGGAACUGAGACACGGUCCAGACUCCUACGGGAGGCAGCAGUGGGGAAUAUUGGACAAUGGGCGAAAGCCUGAUCCAGCCAUGCCGCGUGUGUGAAGAAGGUCUUCGGAUUGUAAAGCACUUUAAGUUGGGAGGAAGGGCAGUAAGUUAAUACCUUGCUGUUUUGACGUUACCGACAGAAUAAGCACCGGCUAACUUCGUGCCAGCAGCCGCCGUAAGAC
rnacentral:rRNA from 1 species